UGGACUGGCCUUAAGAGCU
rnacentral:misc_RNA from 1 species